CUCUUAUCCAGAGAGGCGGAGGGACCGGCCCUGUGAAGCCUCGGCAACCUAGUUCUCAGUUUGGUAGUUGAGUAGUUAGAACUAACCAACUAAAACAAAGGUGCCAAUUCCGGCAGUGAAUAUUCUGGAAGAUGAGAG
rnacentral:ncRNA from 2 species